rnacentral:rRNA from 1 species
GAUGAACGCUGGCGGCGUGCCUAAUACAUGCAAGUCGAGCGAACAGACGAGGAGCUUGCUCCUCUGACGUUAGCGGCGGACGGGUGAGUAACACGUGGAUAACCUACCUAUAAGACUGGGAUAACUUCGGGAAACCGGAGCUAAUACCGGAUAAUAUAUUGAACCGCAUGGUUCAAUAGUGAAAGACGGUUUUGCUGUCACUUAUAGAUGGAUCCGCGCCGCAUUAGCUAGUUGGUAAGGUAACGGCUUACCAAGGCAACGAUGCGUAGCCGACCUGAGAGGCUGAUCGGCCACACUGGAACUUGGACACGGUCCAGACUCCUACGGGAGGCAGCAGUAGGGAAUCUUCCGCAAAGGGCGAAAGCCUGACGGAGCAACGCCGCGUGAGUUAUGAAGGUCUUCGGAUCGUAAAACUCUGUUAUUAGGGAAGAACAAAUGUGUAAGUAACUAUGCACGUCUUGACGGUACCUAAUCAGAAAGCCACGGCUAACUACGUG